GCUAAAGUAGCUCAGUUGGUAGAGCAGUAGAUUCGUAAUCUGCAGGUCGAGGGUUCGACUCCCUUCUUUAGCUCCA
rnacentral:tRNA from 1 species